rnacentral:rRNA from 1 species
UACGUAGGGUGCAAGCGUUGUUCGGAAUUACUGGGCGUAAAGGGUUCGUAGGUGGCCAACUCAGUCAGACGUGAAAUCCCUCAGCUCAACUGGGGAACUGCGUCUGAUACUAGAUGGCUUGAGUGCAGGAGAGGAACGCGGAAUUCCAGGUGUAGCGGUGAAAUGCGUAGAUAUCUGGAGGAACACCGGUGGCGAAGGCGGCGUUCUGGACUGCAACUGACACUGAGGAACGAAAGCCAGGGGAGCAAACGGG